CCGGGCUCCUCCCGCGGGGGCCGCGUCACCUCCCGGCCGCCCAGGCCAGGGCACGGCGAGCACCCCUCCCGAGCGCGACCUGUGGGCUGGGGGCGGGCGGGGAGGGGGGGUGGGGAGCGAGUUUUCGGGGGGCGCUGGAGAACGAGAGCCUGUGAGGGGGCGCCUGAGGAGUCGAGAGUCGGGGCGAACAGUGAGCCUUGGUAGAUGGGGGCGCCCUGGGGGUCGGGUCGGGCGGUAAAGGAGUGGGAGCCUGGGGGCAGGGGAGGAGAUGGGGUGCGACUGGGAAGUGGGGGCACCUCUGGUUUUAGAAAGGAGGGAACUGUUCGGAAUAAGGGAGAGGAUGUCCAGGUGUCGGGCUUGGAGGUGUAAGAGUGAGUGCGUGGAGGGGCUCCCGAGGUGUCAUGGGUGGGGUCCUGGAAGGAGGGUCCCCUUGGGUGCCGGGGGUGAGGGGGCUCGCCAGGUUUCCUUAAAAGGAGGGAGAGGGAGCUAUGAGCAAGUAGGGAGUGCAGGUGAUGUCGAGGACCAGGAACCCUGUGCAGGAGGUGGGGGGUGGGGAGGGGAGGAUGAGGAAGUUCUGGAAAACUGAGGGCUUUUGGCCAAGAAUGCGUGGAGAGGUACUGAGGGGACAACAUGGGAGAGCGCAGAGAAGUAGGGAUAUGAGAUUGGGGGAGUUAGGGUUUGUCUGGGAGAGGUGUGAGGAUGAAGAGGAGCCGGGAAGCCGUGAGGGUGCUAGGAUAAUCCGGUGGGUGAGAAUGAGCCUGAGCCUGGGCCAAGGGCUGCGGUCUAUUUGGCCCUUCCUGGGGGGCCUCGUCUAGAGAGAAGAGGCAGAGAAACAAGGGGAUCAGGUUAACGUCUGCGUCUGUUUUUAGAGGCACAGAGAUGGAUUCAGUGAAAGAUACAGAGAACCAGCUGAGGGAGAAUGGCAGUGGCUGCCGCCGCCUUCUCUGGACCCAGCUGUGCGCAGUCCGGACAACCCUCCGGGUGGGGGCAAGACUGGGAGCGAACUGGGAGGGGUGGAGGAGAGGCCCCAUGGCCCUGACUGGGGGUGCAUCACUAGUGACCAUCCUCUUCUGGGCGCUCUCCACAAGAGAGUUGGGGAGUGUGUGUGUGUGUGUGUGUGUGUAUUAUGUGCACACCCCUACCUCACCUUCCACACUUGCAGUGUUUAGUACCAAGCCAGAUUAUGGUCAGAUGAGUAGUGUAAGGCCUUUGGGGGUUGUAUUAUAUUUACCUUCUUGGUGUGUAGUAAGCACUCUCCCUCCUGCCUCUGUUCCCCAGGUACCAUAUGACUAACUCCCAAUUUAAGAGAGCUGGGGACAGACAAAGCAGCCCUAGAAGUCUCUUGUGACUUCUAAGCUUAAAUGUCUGUGUUUCUUUUCUCCCAUGCCUUGUAAUUGGGAAGAGGGAAGAAGGAAAAGUUUACUUAAGUGCUCUUGUUUUUUUAACUCCCUUGCUUCAAACCAAAAGAGCAUACUCCAAAUGAUUCCUUUUUCAUCUUUUUAGAGCUAAGCAAACUAGAAGAGAUCAUAUGUAUCCCAAUUUACUACAUCAAAAACUAAUGAUGUAAUGUAUGGUGAUUAACAUAACAUAAUAAUAAAAAAAUUUUUGUUUUAGUUGAGAGUUAGAGAACUUAAUAAAUCUCUAAGCCAGCCUCGUCAUCCUACGGGAAAUUGAAGACUUAAAAAUCAGCCACCUAGUAAUGGCAGCACUACAACUAGAACCUAGAUAUUUUUACUCCAGUGUGAAACCAUGGUGGUUUUCAACCCUGGCUGCACAUUAAAAUUAUCUGGGUCACUUUUCAAAAAUACCACCUGGGUCCAACCCUAGAUCAAAUGAAUCAAUCUCUGGGGUUAGGACCCUGGCCUGGUCAUGGGUAUAUUUUGACACUCCCUAAGUGACUAAUGUACAACAAAGGUUCAGAAUUACACCGUGAGCAUCGCAAAAUAGAAAACAGGAGGAACUGGGAGGCGGAGAACAAGAAGAACACUUCUUUUAGUUAUUUUAGGUUGAGUACGUAAAGGUAAACUUAAAAGCGGUUGUCCAAAUUAAACAGUUUCGGUGUUCCCUUUACAGUAGAGCCACAUCCUGGACCCUGCACUAUUUUCUACCAGUAACACAGCAUGCGGGGUGCCAGUGGCUGUGUUUCCCUGCACCCCCACUGCCUCUCACCUCCCUGGAGACACUGUGAAAUACAAUGCACAGGAGAUGGUAUCAUGGGGACAGCUGACUUCUUACAGGAUUGAAACAGAAUCAAGGAAUUAAGAAAUGGUAACAUUUGAAAACCACGUUGAAGGUGAGGAAAUCUUGGCAGGCUCAACAACAUCAUUUUCCUUUGAGAGACACCACCAGUGUUUGGAAAUCCCAGAAGAUGUCUCAAGAUUAUAACACCCUUGAGAAAAUGAGCUCAUUUGUAAUUCUCUUGCCAGUGCCCUCCUCCAUAUAUUUCCUUGGCCCUUAAGCUGACUGACAUCUGGAAAGAUGGCUGUAAUGGUCCCAGGCUUCACCUUGUUGUUGGAGGAAGAGAGAGAUACUUUCCAGCAUUCUAAACAAGAUUCCUGAAACUCACCUUGAUUGGGUCAUAUCCUCCUCUCCCCCAUCCCCUACCCAUAGCCCCAACUGAACAGUGAUGUGACCAGGGGAAAUGGAGUGUGCUAAUGACUGGAUUAAACCAACCACAACUCCUCCUGAAGCUUGAUGUGGAUGUGGGAUAAGCUUCCUUCAAAGUACUUGAGCUUAGAGUAGAGGAUAUUAUCCAAGUUAAAGUCUAGAUGCUGUUAGUAAUGGGAAAGUAGGUAAUGAAUAUUAGUUGCGGAGCCAAGAAUGUCCAUUCUACCAUCCCUAAAGUCCAAUUAAAGACCAUCUCUUUGACAAUGUCAGUUUCUAUGAAUACUGCCUGGCUUGCCCUAUACUGUGUCUUUUAUGCAUAUAUCUCUUGCCUCCUUAAGUAGAUUAUAAGUUCCUUGAAGUCAGGGACAUUAUAUUUCUAUUCAGUACUGAGCUGCAAACAGCACUUAAUGAAGGAUAAAAUAGUUUUAUGGUGGAUUCAGUGCUGUAUAUUUGGAAAAUGGAACUAGGUGGUUAAAAGGAGUGGCCUGGGUGGGAAAAAGUAUCACAGCUCUCAGAAUUGCCCUUUGAGAAGAGAAACAAGUUAAGCAAUGGAUCUCUGGGUUAAAAACAAAACAAAACAAAAACAAAAACAAAAAACCUCAAUUCCACUCCCUGAAACAGGAGCCCACAGAAUCCCAUCUCUCCUUUCAGAAUGAGUUUGAAGCCAACAUGAUUUUAUCUUUUUUUAAAGAUUUAUUUAUUUUAGAGAGA